CCUACGGGUGGCAGCAGUGGGGAAUAUUGGACAAUGGGCGAAAGCCUGAUCCAGCCAUGCCGCGUGUGUGAAGAAGGCCUUCGGGUUGUAAAGCACUUUCAGUGGGGAAGAAAGCCUUGGGGCUAAUACCCUCGAGGAAGGACAUCACCCACAGAAGAAGCACCGGCUAACUCCGUGCCAGCAGCCGCGGUAAUACGGAGGGUGCGAGCGUUAAUCGGAAUUACUGGGCGUAAAGCGCGCGUAGGCGGUCUGAUAAGCCGGUUGUGAAAGCCCCGGGCUCAACCUGGGAACGGCAUCCGGAACUGUCAGGCUAGAGGGCAGGAGAGGAAGGUAGAAUUCCCGGUGUAGCGGUGAAAUGCGUAGAGAUCGGGAGGAAUACCAGUGGCGAAGGCGGCCUUCUGGACUGACACUGACGCUGAGGUGCGAAAGCGUGGGUAGCAAACAGGAUUAGAUACCCUAGAGUC
rnacentral:rRNA from 1 species